GACGAAGGGGGCUAGCGUUGUUCGGAAUUAUUGGGCGUAAAGCGCGUGUAGGCGGCUUUGCAAGUCGGGUGUGAAAGCCCUCAGCUUAACUGAGGAAGUGCGCCCGAAACUGCAGAGCUUGAGUACCGGAGAGGGUGGCGGAAUUCCCCAAGUAGAGGUGAAAUUCGUAGAUAUGGGGAGGAACACCGGUGGCGAAGGCGGCCACCUGGACGGAUACUGACGCUGAGACGCGAAAGCGUGGGUAGCAAACAGG
rnacentral:rRNA from 1 species